rfam:Trichobilharzia regenti genome assembly, scaffold: TRE_contig0046599
GUAUUGGUGAAGAGUCCAAAACUAGGAUGAAACAGUUGUCCAAUAC